rnacentral:rRNA from 1 species
GUGGGGAAUUUUCCGCAAUGGGCGCAAGCCUGACGGAGCAACGCCGCGUGAGGGAUGAAGGCCUCUGGGCUGUAAACCUCUUUUAUCAAGGAAGAAGAACUGACGGUACUUGAUGAAUAAGCCACGGCUAAUUCCGUGCCAGCAGCCGCGGUAAUACGGGAGUGGCAAGCGUUAUCCGGAAUUAUUGGGCGUAAAGCGUCCGCAGGCGGUUUUACAAGUCUGUCGUUAAAGCGUGGAGCUCAACUCCAUUUCAGCGAUGGAAACUGUAAGACUCGAGUGUGGUAGGGGCAGAGGGAAUUCCCGGUGUAGCGGUGAAAUGCGUAGAUAUCGGGAAGAACACCAGUGGCGAAAGCGCUCUGCUGGGCCAUAACUGACGCUCAUGGACGAAAGCCAGGGGAGCGAAAGGAGAUUAGAUACCCCGGUAGUCCGG